AUUGAACGCUGGCGGCAGGCUUAACACAUGCAAGUCGAGCGGGGGAAGGUAGCUUGCUACUGGACCUAGCGGCGGACGGGUGAGUAAUGCUUAGGAAUCUGCCUAUUAGUGGGGGACAACAUCUCGAAAGGGAUGCUAAUACCGCAUACGUCCUACGGGAGAAAGCAGGGGAUCUUCGGACCUUGCGCUAAUAGAUGAGCCUAAGGCGGAUUAGCUAGUUGGUGGGGUAAAGGCCUACCAAGGCGACGAUCUGUAGCGGGUCUGAGAGGAUGAUCCGCCACACUGGGACUGAGACACGGCCCAGACUCCUACGGGAGGCAGCAGUGGGGAAUAUUGGACAAUGGGGGGGACCCUGAUCCAGCCAUGCCGCGUGUGUGAAGAAGGCCUUAUGGUUGUAAAGCACUUUAAGCGAGGAGGAGGCUACUCUAGUUAAUACCUAGGGAUAGUGGACGUUACUCGCAGAAUAAGCACCGGCUAACUCUGUGCCAGCCGCCGCGGUAA
rnacentral:rRNA from 1 species